AAGGCUUGACCUCAAAUCAGGUAGGACUACCCGCGAACUUAAGC
rnacentral:rRNA from 1 species